rnacentral:rRNA from 1 species
UGGGGAAUAUUGGACAAUGGGCGGAAGCCUGAUCCAGCAACGCCGCGUGAGGGAUGACGGCCUUCGGGUUGUAAACCUCUUUCAGUACCGACGAAGCGAAAGUGACGGUAGGUACAGAAGAAGGACCGGCCAACUACGUGCCAGCAGCCGCGGUAAUACGUAGGGUCCGAGCGUUGUCCGGAAUUAUUGGGCGUAAAGGGCUCGUAGGCGGUUUGUCGCGUCGGGAGUGAAAACAGCGGGCUUAACUCGUUGCUUGCUUUCGAUACGGGGCAGACUAGAGGUAUGCAGGGGAGAAUGGAAUUCCUGGUGUAGCGGUGAAAUGCGCAGAUAUCAGGAGGAACACCGGUGGCGAAGGCGGUUCUCUGGGCAUUACCUGACGCUGAGGAGCGAAAGUGUGGGGAGCGAACAGGAUUAGAUACCCUGGUAGUCCACACCGUAAACGUUGGGCGCUAGGUGUGGGGUCCUUUCCACGGAUUCCGUGCCGUAGCUAACGCAUUAAGCGCCCCGCCUGGGGAGUACGGCCGCAAGGCU